UACGGAGGAUCCGAGCGUUAUCCGGAUUUAUUGGGUUUAAAGGGUGCGUAGGUGGAUUGGUAAGUCAGUGGUGAAAGUUUGCAGCUUAACUGUAAAAUUGCCGUUGAAACUGCCGGUCUUGAGUGCAAAUGAGGUAGGCGGAAUGCGUCGUGUAGCGGUGAAAUGCUUAGAUAUGACGCAGAACUCCGAUUGCGAAGGCAGCUUACUGGGAUGCAACUUACGCUGAGGCACGGAAGCGUGGGUAUCAAACAGGAUUAGAUACCCU
rnacentral:rRNA from 1 species